GCAAACUACGAAUACCGGAGAAUGUUAUCACGGGAGACACACGGCGGGUGCUAACGUCCGUCGUGAAGAGGGAAACAACCCAGACCGCCAGCUAAGGUCCCAAAGUCAUGGUUAAGUGGGAAACGAUGUGGGAAGGCACAGACAGCCAGGAUGUUGGCUUAGAAGCAGCCAUCAUUUAAAGAAAGCGUAAUAGCUCACUGGUCGAGUCGGCCUGCGCGGAAGAUGUAACGGGGCUAAACCAUGCACCGAAGCUGCGGCAGCGACACUAUGUGUUGUUGGGUAGGGGAGCGUUCUGUAAGCCUGCGAAGGUGUGCUGUGAGGCAUGCUGGAGGUAUCAGAAGUGCGAAUGCUGACAUAAGUAACGAUAAAGCGGGUGAAAAGCCCGCUCGCCGGAAGACCAAGGGUUCCUGUCCAACGUUAAUCGGGGCAGGGUGAGUCGACCCCUAAGGCGAGGCCGAAAGGCGUAGUCGAUGGGAAACAGGUUAAUAUUCCUGUACUUGGUGUUACUGCGAAGGGGGGACGGAGAAGGCUAUGUUAGCCGGGCGACGGUUGUC
rnacentral:rRNA from 1 species